rnacentral:rRNA from 1 species
AUUGAACGCUGGCGGCAGGCCUAACACAUUCAAGUCGAACGAGUGGCGGACGGGUGAGUAAUGUCUGGGAAACUGCCUGAUGGAGGGGGAUAACUUCUGGAAACGGUAGCUAAUACCGCAUACCAUCGGAUGUGCCCAGAUGGGAUUGGUUUGUUGGUGGGGUAACGGCGCACCAAGGCCACGAUCCCUAGCUGGUUGGAGAGGAUGACCAGCCAUACUGGAACUGGGACACGGUCCAGACUCCUACGGGGUGCAGCAGUGGGGAAGAUUGCACAAUGGGCGCAAGCCUGAUGCAGCCAUGCCGCUUGUAUGAAGAAGGCCUUCGGGUUGUAAAGUACUUUCAGCGGGGAGGCGUUACCCGCAGAAGAAGCACCGGCUAACUCCGUGCCAGCAGCCGCGGUAAUUC